rnacentral:lncRNA from 1 species
AGUACUGCUUUCGUUGGAAGACGGUCCCAGACCAUCUUCUAAAGGAACAACGCAACCCUCGGAAGGAGGCCCAAUCGCCAGAUCCAGGCACAAUCAGGACCAAGCUCGUACUCCUGCCUAAGAAUGCGGGAAAGGACACCCAUCAAGACUCUGGGACUGGUCGAGGAACUCCACACUCGUACAUCUGGUCCACCGCUCUGUGGCAGAGGGAGGGAGCGAACCCGCUAUGCCAAAUGCUCCCCGAAGAAACGGGCUAAUCGAAUCUCGUCCCAGCCGGCCUCCCUGGGGGUCAUAAGAUCACAAACAUGUAGACCCUCCCCAGCCUCGACACUAACAGUAGUCGGCCAACGGCGCAGGGGGAGGCCAUCAACCCAAGGGUCCCCGGUCACAUCGAUGCUACGGCCGUCGCCUAUCAGCCAUCGGGUGUGAUCCGACACCAUAGGCACAUAUCUCGCUAUCUCACGCCAUAAAAAGGAACAUCCCCGCCCACCU